rnacentral:lncRNA from 1 species
UAGUCUUUGUGAAUAUUUGUGACUAUUUGAUUGUUGGUUGAAUAGUACACAGUUCUCAUGUAUUGAGUGUCUUAUUGUUUGUUGAUCCGCUUCUUUUGAGGCAAAAUCAUUUCUGUAUAUCUGUUAUGCAUGCAAAAGUUAGACGCACACCAGCUUUGCACCUGUCAAUUGUUUGUGUAAUACUGGAAAAGGAUAUAUAGUGUGUCAACUUUCCGGCCGAUGAUGAUAAGAACCUGUUCUGAGAUGGCUCUAUAUUAUUUGCAAUCUGUGUUUUCCUAUGUGGUUCAAUAAACUAUCUCUGCAGCCUCUUGAUUUGCUUUACAAAAGGCCCUAGUCACUAAAUGUAUCCUUGUAGCUUCUUGACUUCCUUUGCUCAAAAGGCCGUAGUCACCAAAAGCCAAAAAUAGAAUGGCUUUCAUUGGUUAAUGAAUAAUGAUAGAAUAUAUGCUAAAGAUUGGCUUCAGAGACAAGAUCUAGACUGUAACAAGGUUCUUUAUCCCAAAGAAAAAAGAACUCACAAGAUUUUAUGAUACAGCAAGAAUUUGCAACUAUUUUGUGAGCUUUGAAAUUGUGCUAUUUAGAGUCUGAAAGUGUAGGAAAUUGAUAUUGUUGCAAUGGGGAAAACUGGGCCAAAUACACAGAUAGCCACUCGGAGUUGGUAUGAAAUGUCAGUUAGACACUAAAAGUUUACUAGUGUCCAGAUAGACACUUCAACUCGAUAAGAAUGCGACACGUGAGCACUUGGGUCAUAAGACCUAGUGGGUGAGUGCGAUCAUGGUCGGCGAGUAAAUUUCUCCAUUCUCUCCAGGUUCCCCACCAGCCACUACCAACUCAAUCUCUCUCCCUUUUCCAGCUUCCCUAUAUUGCAAUGUGGCAACCCAUUUAUAUCUUGCCUAUUGUUAGUUUCCUCGGUUAAUUUCUUUCUCAUUUGUUGACAAACUAGAAGAACAACAUGGAAACUGUUAGGAAAUGAACCUUUGGCGUUAAUCCAACCCCAAAAGCAAGCUUGUGAGUUGAGAUUGCUCAAAGACUGUGUAAGGAAAUUAAUUACCUCAUCCCAUAACGAUGUGCGACUCUAACACCCCCGUUCUCCUCUCACGCCCAAGAUUGGAUAUUUGGACCGUGGACAAUAUUGAGAAACAAGAAAGAAGAGAAGAGGGCGGGGAAUAGUUCACUUGAUUAUUCCCUCAAGCCAUUGGGGUUUAAAAUGACCUUUACAAGAAUUACAAAUAAGGAAAGAAAAUAAAAGGCAGCAACACCUGGGAGAAUUAGACAACAACAACAACCCAACAAUAAUCCCACUAAUGGAGUCUGGGGAGGAUAGAGUGUACGUAGACCUUUCCCCUAUCUCGAGGGUAGAGAGGCUGUUUCCGGGAAACCUGGGAGAAUUAGACAUACCUCUAAAGCUCAAUUCCAGUAUAAAAACACCAAUAUAGGACUCUAAAUUGGUUUAGAAUUGCUAAAUUUCUGCUCCAAAAUGGCUCCUUUGUUCAUUCAAUAAUUGAUGAUUUCUGUAAACUUAACAUCAAGAUAGUUCUUCUUUUCCUCCUUUAUCCUCUCUUUGCUCGCUAAUCAGGAUUUUAUGAUGAGUUAAAAUAUAUUGCUAUUUUUUUUGGGCAAAGUUUGGCAUCUUUAAAAUUGUAAUUUAUUUAUUUAUUUUAGUGCCCUUUUUUCAGUUUAUGAGUCAACCUUUACCGUUUCAGCUAUAGUGCCCUUUUUUCAGUUUAUGAGUCAACCUUUACCGUUUCAGCUAUUCUUUUUGGGAUAUUUGCUAGGUGAGACAUUCUAAUAGUGUUAUUUACAUUGUCCUUUUUCAUUUGUCAGUGAUUUUUGCUUUGACUACGGCUCAAACAUCUAUUUUGAAGUACUGCAUUGCUUCUAAUAGUCUUUUAACAAGCAUGAAUAUUUAUCAUGUGAAAUAGACUGGAAAAUUACUAGGUGCAAAAGUGUGUUUCAUAGACUAGAGCCAUUUGGAUAGCCCUUUUAGUUCAAUUAUAUUUUUGUGCUUAGUUUUUAUUAAAGAAGAAAACUCGAAAGAUGAUUAGUGAACAUUGACAGUUUCUUUU